rnacentral:rRNA from 1 species
CAGUAUCCUAGUCUGAAUACAUAGGGCUAGAGAAGCGAACCUGGAGAACUGAACCAUCUAAGUACCCAGAGGAAAAGAAAUCAACCGAGAUUCCGCAAGUAGUGGCGAGCGAACGCGGAAAAGCCUGUAUAUGAUAAUGGUUAGGAUAGAAGAAGGGAUUGGAAACUUCCGCCAUAGUGGGUGAUAGCCCCGUAUUUGAAAUCUUAACCAUGGUACUAAGUAUACGAGAAGUAGGGCGGGACACGUGAAAUCCUGUCUGAAUACUGUCUCUUAUACACAUCU